UACGUAGGGCGCAAGCGUUAUCCGGAAUUAUUGGGCGUAAAGAGCUCGUAGGCGGUUUGUCGCGUCUGCCGUGAAAGUCCGGGGCUCAACUCCGGAUCUGCGGUGGGUACGGGCAGACUAGAGUGAUGUAGGGGAGACUGGAAUUCCUGGUGUAGCGGUGAAAUGCGCAGAUAUCAGGAGGAACACCGAUGGCGAAGGCAGCUCGCUGGGACGGUACUGACACUGAGAGACGAAAGCUAGGGGAGCGAAUGGG
rnacentral:rRNA from 1 species